rnacentral:sRNA from 1 species
AAUCAAUUGGUCGCAGGUUCGAAUCCUGCACGACCCACCAAUUUAACAUCAAACUCAGAUGUUAAGCGUGAAGGAUAACGUUGCGUCAGCAACGGCCCGCAGGGCGAGCGAAGCGAGUCAUCCUGCACGAUCCACCA